UAACACAAACGGCUUGCGUCACUUCCAGACACUGAAACUAAAAUCAGAGAGCUCCAGUGCGUUGACUGAGGGGAACUCCACCCAAAAAUCACAGCUUGCUGAAUGACGAAGAGAGAAGGGCUCUUCCAGCACCGCCGAACCCUGGCCAGGUCACCAGUUACAGCUCACAAGCCUGCAAUUCAAACUGCUCUAAAGUGGCAUCCACCCUCUACUCACGGAGAGGGGAAUAUGUCAUUUGGCGCAGGGCAGUCGUCCAGGUAGACCGUGUGAGUGUUAUCAUUAAGAGGCUGCUGUGCGCAACCAGGCUACGAUGUUAGCGUUAGCCUCAAUCACAGACAGACAGACCCACCCUGAAGAAUGGGGAACAACACAAUACACACAAAUGCUC